rnacentral:rRNA from 1 species
UACGGGGGGGGGCAAGCGUUGUUCGGAAUUACUGGGCGUAAAGGGCUCGUAGGCGGCCAACUAAGUCGGAUGUGAAAUCCCCAGGCUUAACCUGGGAACUGCAUCCGAUACUGGAUGGCUUGAAUCCGGGAGAGGGAUGCGGAAUUCCAGGUGUAGCGGUGAAAUGCGUAGAUAUCUGGAGGAACACCGGUGGCGAAGGCGCAUCCUGGACCGGCAUUGACGCUGAGGAGCGAAAGCCAGGGGAGCAAAACGGGG